ensembl:lncRNA
GUAAAUUAUGUCAUCUUAGGACAGUAGAAGUUAGCCCAUUUGUAGAUCCCCCUCUUUCGUGUAUAAGUUCAGCAGGCCGGCGAGAGCAAUCUCUUUUCUGAACACACUGCCCUGUGAAGCGUUCACUCAGACUUCAGCCUCACAGAAACUAUCAAACAGAUUUUCUGCAGAUUUGGACCGAGACACGUCGUGGGACGUCAUCAUUUCACGCGUUUAGGCAAAGCCCUCUUCUCUUCAAGUCACGUGAACAUGAGCACGAACACGUACACGUACAGCUAAAAAGGUCUCACCAACAAACUUCACAUAGCGACAAAUCGUGCAAAAAGAUUUCGGGCAGUUGUGAUUUCGCAAGGUCGAGUAGUUUUCUGCAAAACAAAGCACAAAAAACUUUGCAAAUUGCAUCGCAGAUUUUGAAAGGAAAGAAAAAACAAAACAGCCGCUGCAAAAUCCAGCAUUGUUGGCCGUAACAAUCACCAAAAAAAAAAAAAAACCUCCUGCGAAAUCCUGUACGGACUGAAUAGCACAGACGCAAAUAAGUAAAUAAAAACACGUGUGUUAACAUUAAUUAAUUUUUAUUUAUUUUUAGUAAUGGCUUACUCAGACUUUUAUAAUGAACAUUCCACGUACUAUAUUCGAAGUCUCAUAAUAAACUGAUUAAAUUGUGCAGUUAUUGAACAGAAAAACAGUUGCUAUGAUGAUUUCUGUACGGAGACGUUUAUAUCAUAUUUAUGGAAGGAGUCUCCAGUGUCAGGAAUUUGUAACCGGGGUAAAGCACGAACUUUAAGACUUUCCUGCGUUGGAAAAAUUUAAAUCGAAGGACUUUUUCCAGUUUCUCUGUAACAUGACAAGUUGCGGGUUGUUUUAUUAUUUGUUUAUUAGAUUUUUUUUUUUGCUAGUGAGGAAAUGAUCAUUUAUAGUGAUUUAAAAAGAACGAACUCGUUUCGAAGAUGUUCCACAGCAUUGAAUGUAGC